UACAGAGGUUUCAAGCGUUGUUCGGAUUCAUUGGGCGUAAAGGGCGCGUAGGCUGCGGGGCAAGUCGGGUGUGAAAUCUCAGAGCUCAACUCUGAAACUGCACUCGAUACUGCUUUGCUUGAGGACUGGAGAGGAGAUUGGAAUUCACGGUGUAGCAGUGAAAUGCGUAGAUAUCGUGAGGAAGACCAGUGGCGAAGGCGGAUCUCUGGACAGUUCCUGACGCUGAGGCGCGAAGGCCAGGGGAGCAAACGGG
rnacentral:rRNA from 1 species